rnacentral:lncRNA from 1 species
AAAGGCUUUAUACCAGGAACUCUCUGUCAUUUAAGUUAUCUCCUUCCAUCCAUAAUACUGUUUUAUAGACUGACAUAAAAAGUAGAUAAAAAGAGCUGGUACUAUUAGAUGAACUCCCUCAAUCUCUGGUUUACUUGUGUUUUCCUGGAAGAAAAAAAAAAGAAAAAAAAAAGAAGCCACCAUGGUUGUUUAUUUUAAAAGUGAUUCCAUUUUUGUUUUACUCGUGUUCACUACAGAUUACUGGGACUGAAAAGUGAAAACCUGGGAAGAAAAGGAGGAGCCUGGAAAAACACUGGAAAGAAAGAGAAAGAGAAGAAAUGAGAAGAAAUCAAGAGAGGGGUAUGCUAAGAAGCUGAGGUCAGAGACUGAACACAAAGAACUGUUUUUCAUUUCAUUUAAGAAUUGUUACACAUUGCUGCGGCAGGGGAGAGAUCGAAGUAUGAUGACAGUUUAAUGGGAAGGCUACAGUGAAAAUACUAACGAGCAAUUGGAAUCGUGGAGCAACAGAAAUACUUUACUGUAAGAGGAAACUACAGUUCUUUUACUGAAGGUGAGGGGAGGACAUAAGU